rnacentral:rRNA from 1 species
GUGGGGAAUAUUGCACAAUGGGCGCAAGCCUGAUGCAGCCAUGCCGCGUGUAUGAAGAAGGCCUUCGGGUUGUAAAGUACUUUCAGCGAGGAGGAAGGCAUUGGGGUUAAUAACCGCAGUGAUUGACGUUACUCGCAGAAGAAGCACCGG